rnacentral:rRNA from 1 species
GUAGGGUGCAAGCGUUAUCCGGAAUCAUUGGGCGUAAAGAGCUCGUAGGCGGUUCAGCAAGUCGGCUGUGAAAUCCCGAGGGCUUAACCUCGGAACUGCAGUCGAUACUGCUGUGACUAGAGUCCGGUAGAGGAGAAUGGAAUUCCCGGUGUAGCGGUGAAAUGCGCAGAUAUCAGGAGGAACACCAGUAGCGAAGGCGGUUCUCUGGGCCGGUACUGACGCUGAGGAGCGAAAGCGUGGGUAGCAAACAGGAUUAGAUACCCUGGUAGUCCACGCCGUAAACGUUGGACACUAGGUGUGGCGUUCCGACCAACGGGUGCCGUGCCGAAGCUAACGCAUUAAGUGUCCCGCCUGGGGAGUACGGCCGCAAGGCUA